rnacentral:rRNA from 1 species
AGGGCACCACCAGGAGUGGAGCCUGCGGCUUAAUUUGACUCAACACGGGAAAACUCACCCGGCCCGGACACUGGAAGGAUUGACAGAUUGACAGCUCUUUCUUGAUUCAGUGGGUGGUGGUGGAUGGCCCUUCUUAGUUGGUGGAGUGAUUUGUCUGGUUAAUUCCAAUAACGAACGAGACUCUAGCCUACAAAAUAGAUCGUCGGCUUACGAACGCCGACGAGACUUCUUAGAGGGACAGGCGGUCAUCCACCCGCACAAAACAGAUAACUAACAUGUCUGUGAUGCCCUUAGAUGUCCGGGGCCGCACGCGCGCUACACUGAAGUGAUCACCGUGCCUUUUCAACCUACUCUGUCAAGAGUAGGGAACCCAACGAACCUUCGUCGUGAUAGGGAUAGGGGAUUGUUCUUAUUCCCCUUGAAAGACCAAUUCCCAGCAAGCAGAGCCAUAAUCUGAUGCUGACCACGCCCCUGCCCUUUCUUCACGUCGCCAGUCGCUUCUACUUAUUGAAUGGCGUC